UACGGAGGGUGCAAGCGUUAUCCGGAUUCACUGGGUUUAAAGGGUGCGUAGGUGGGCAGGUAAGUCAGUGGUGAAAUCUCCGGGCUUAACCCGGAAACUGCCAUUGAUACUAUCUGUCUUGAAUACCGUGGAGGUGGGCGGAAUAUGUCAUGUAGCGGUGAAAUGCUUAGAUAUGACAUAGAACACCAAUUGCGAAGGCAGCUCACUACACGAAUAUUGACACUGAGGCACGAAAGCGUGGGGAUCAAACAGG
rnacentral:rRNA from 1 species